GCUCAAUUGGUUAAGUGAUUAAACAUCUGACUUCAGCUCAGGUCAUGAUCUCAGCGUCCUGGGAUUGAGCC
rnacentral:tRNA from 1 species